rnacentral:rRNA from 1 species
UGGGGAAUAUUGGACAAUGGGCGCAAGCCUGAUCCAGCCAUGCCGCGUGAGUGAAGAAGGCCCUCGGGUUGUAAAGCUCUUUUGUCCGGAAAGAAAAGCUUCGGGUUAAUACCCCGGGGUUCUGACGGUACCGGAAGAAUAAGCACCGGCUAACUUCGUGCCAGCAGCCGCGGUAAUACGAAGGGUGCAAGCGUUACUCGGAAUUACUGGGCGUAAAGCGUGCGUAGGUGGUUGUUUAAGUCUGAUGUGAAAGCCCUGGGCUCAACCUGGGAUGGCAUUGGAAACUGGGCAGCUAGAGUGCGGUAGAGGGUAGUGGAAUUCCCGGUGUAGCAGUGAAAUGCGUAGAGAUCGGGAGGAACAUCUGUGGCGAAGGCGACUGCCUGGACCAGCACUGACACUGAGGCACGAAAGCGUGGGGAGCAAACA